UGCUGACAGUAGCCAUAAGGGACUCACUGU
rnacentral:piRNA from 1 species